UACGGGGGAUGCAAGCGUUAUCCGGAUUUAUUGGGCGUAAAGCGCCUGUAGGUUGUUUAAUAAGUCUGUUGUUAAAGACUAGGGCUUAACCCCAGGAAAGCAAUGGAAACUACUAGACUUGAGUAUGAUAGGGGUAGAGGGAAUUUCUAGUGUAGCGGUGAAAUGCGUAGAUAUUAGAAAGAACACCGGUGGCGAAGGCGCUCUACUGGAUCAUUACUGACACUCAGAGGCGAAAGCUAGGGUAGCAAAAGGGAUUAGAUACCCCUGUAGUCCUAGCCGUAAACGAUGGAUACUACAUGUUGCGUUUUUAAUGCAGUAUGGUAGCUAACGCGUUAAGUAUCCCGCCUGGGGAGUACGGUCGCAAGGCUG
rnacentral:rRNA from 1 species